GACGAACGCUGGCGGCGUGCUUAACACAUGCAAGUCGAACGAAGCUUGAUUACGGAUUCUUCGGAUGAAGUAUGAUAUGACUGAGUGGCGGACGGGUGGGUAACGCGUGAGUAACCUGCCCUUCAGAGGGGAUAGGGGUUGGGAACGAAACGGAAUACCGCAUAAUGUAAUUUGAACGCAUGAUCGGAAUUACAAAGAUUUAUCGCUGAAGGAUGGACUCGCGUCUGAUUAGGUAGUUGGUGGGGUAACGGCCUACCAAGCCGACGAUCAGUAGCCGGACUGAGAGGUUGAUCGGCCACAUUGGGACUGAGACACGGCCCAGACUCCUACGGGAGGCAGCAGUGGGGAAUAUUGCACAAUGGGCGCAAGCCUGAUGCAGCAACGCCGCGUGAAGGAAGACGGUUUUCGGAUUGUAAACUUCUGUUCUUAGUGAAGAAUAAUGACGGUAGCUAAGGAGCAAGCCACGGCUAACUACGUG
rnacentral:rRNA from 1 species